UACGAAGGGGGCUAGCGUUAAUCGGAAUUACUGGGCGUAAAGCGUGCGUAGACGGUUAUGUAAGUCAGGUGUGAAAGCCCAGGGCUCAACCUUGGAAUUGCAUUUGAGACUGCAUAGCUAGGGUGCGGAAGAGGGAAGCGGAAUUUCCGGUGUAGCGGUGAAAUGCGUAGAUAUCGGAAGGAACACCAGUGGCGAAAGCGGCUUCCUGGUCCAGCACCGACGUUCAGGCACGAAAGCGUGGGGAGCAAACAGG
rnacentral:rRNA from 1 species